UCGGGAAUUUUGGGCAAUGGGGGAAACCCUGACCCAGCAACGCCGCGUGAAGGAUGAAGUAUUUCGGUAUGUAAACUUCGAAAGAAUAGGAAGAAUAAAUGACGGUACUAUUUUAUAAGGUCCGGCUAACUACGUGCCAGCAGCCGCGGUAAUACGUAGGGACCAAGCGUUGUUCGGAUUUACUGGGCGUAAAGGGCGCGUAGGCGGCAUGACAAGUCACUUGUGAAAUCUCUGGGCUUAACCCAGAACGGCCAAGUGAUACUGUCGCGCUAGAGUGCAGAAGGGGCAAUCGGAAUUCUUGGUGUAGCGGUGAAAUGCGUAGAUAUCAAGAGGAACACCUGAGGUGAAGACGGGUUGCUGGGCUGACACUGACGCUGAGGCGCGAAAGCCAGGGGGAGCAAA
rnacentral:rRNA from 1 species